rnacentral:tRNA from 1 species
AAGAGGUGUCAUGAACACCAAGAACUGCUAAUUCUUAUUACUGAAGUUAAAAUCCUCAGGCCUCUUA